CUCGUCUCCCUGCAAUGAUAGGUGGAUCCUACACUGCCGUCGUGCCGACCAUUUCCCCAACCCCGAAGUAUCAGCACAGUCAAAACAGGUUCCUUGCUAUCAGAGACAAUAAGCUCCACAUAUAUAAGCCAACACCCGGGUAUGUUCUAUUCUUUUUUCACUGAACAUUACAUGUACAUAUGCUAUCUUUCUUGAUCGAGCUCUAUGAUGAUGAGGAAACACAAGACUUUACUCUUCUAGGAUCAUUAAGUGUUUGUUUGUCUUUGAACUCAUUAAGGCGUGUGUAUCUUAUGUCCGUACUUGAUUGUACCUUGUAAAUAACGGGCCACAGGUGAUAACA